rnacentral:rRNA from 1 species
AUGGAAAAGUUGGAAGCAGCUACAAAAAAAGCUUCAACGGACUAUGAAAAAAGCUUCAACCUAGAGCCAGCAAUGGCUAUGAUGGCGAGGCUGCGACAGGUUGAUGGCGAGGCUGCUACCAAACGACGGCGGGGUGUGACCAUGGAGCAACGCCAUGUUGCAACCAAUGGUGACGAGGGCCGCAAAACGCCCACGAGAUGCAGCUUCAACGGCGACGGCGGGGUUGCGAGCACGUCGACGACGAGACGAGCGAGAAGCGGCGUCCUCUUCACGGGAGGUGCAGUGGGGCGGCCGGCGGCGAGGACGACGACCGGCGACAAGGACAGGAACCAGUGA